ensembl:lncRNA
AGCCACUUACUCAUUCUUCCCAAUGCUUGUCGCUGCUAUCCUAAAUAUAGGGUAGUGUGCCAACAGGAGAGGCUCGGGAGCGAGCCGGGGUGCAGGGAACGCCACCGCCGUGUCGGCAGAGCCGUGCUGCUCCCAGCCCGUGCUGCCUGCUUGCUGCAGGCUUUGUGCUGCUUGGGGAGCUGCCACGUGGCUCACACCAGGCUGAGUGCUGCAGGGCUGCGCUCUGCUCCUCUGGCUGCUGCAGGGCCUGAGGGUGGGCACUGGGGGACACCGGGAUCCCCGCCGGCUUCGUCUGUGAGAGGCACGGCCAGAACUGGCUCAGACCUGACCAUAGCUUAUCUGCCACGGCCGGCUGCUCUGGAGGAAUUCCUGCACGUCUUCUGGCGGCAGAACUUCGCUCUGGCUGCGGGGGGAUGUCGGAGGGAAUGCUGCGUCCUGGUUUGUGCCACACAGAGAGGCACUGCGGUGCUUUGCACCUGAGCCCGGGGUCCCCUCAGCUCUGCUGGAGGAGCAGCAGGAGCGGUGUGAGCUGCCUCUCCGCGUCCCGUCAGCUGAGGAAUAGCGUGGAGGAAUGAAUUCCAGUGAGUUGGAUGAGGAAAAUGUAAACACUGCGUUCUCGUCGGGCAAACAGCAGUCGUGGAAAUAAAUGUCUCUGGGAUUCCUUGUGGUGCUCAUCGACUGCCCG